UAAAGUCUAUAAAAAACCUUGACGUUGUAGAUGGUGUCGAAAUUGAACCUCAAACUGCUAAUCCCUGAAAUGAGCACCCUCAACUCCCUAAUCCCGGUUCAAUCUCGCGUGAUGCCCGUUUCACUCUGGAAUCGCUGAUGUGGCAAGGGUCAACACAGGGAUUAUUGACUGGGUUGUGGUUAUAACCGUCGUCGUCCUCUUUUGCUGGAAUCGGAGAAAAGGGGAAUGAGACAGGAGAUUGGGCAGGGAAGUGACGGCGGCGGUCGUGGCGGCGGCGGCGUGGCGGCGCGUCGUGGCUGGAGUGACGGCCUCGUCCUCGUCAGGAGCAUCUUCGGCGGGGGGCGGCCGCGGCGUCGCGAGGUGGCUGGAGCGACGAUGUCGUCCUCGUCCGGGGCAUAUUCAGCGGGCGGCGGGCGGCGGCGCGUGGUGGCUGGAGCGAAGAUGUUGUCCUCGUCUGGUGCAUCUUUAGCGGGCGGCGGGCGGUGGCCACGGCGGCGAAGAUGUCGUCCUCGUCUGGUGCAUCUUCAGCGGCCGGCGGCCGGCGGCCGCGGCGGCUCAUGGUGGCUUUAGUGAUGGUGUUGUCUCGUCCGGUGAAUCUUCGGCGCGCGGUGGACGCGGCUAGACAGCUCGGUCGCCGAUUGGAGGAUGUGGCUAUGCUGAUUGGUGUGAUGCCCCUACAACGCUAUUUCUUCGUGAUUUGCUUGGUGAUCUACGACAUGCAGUGUGGAGGCUACUGGGAGACUUGCAGUUCAACAUGAAGCUAGAUCAGCUGCUAGCACUGUUGCUGCACUGAGAGGUGAGAUUGUUCUAAAGAAUGCCCAAAUGGAUGCAAUGAGGGCAAGAUUAGAAAGAAUGGAGAGGAAUACGAUGUACAGUUACCAUGCAUAUGGCAGUAUCAUUUUCUUAGCAGGUUUAGUUGCAGUACUGGUGCUAGUUUAGUGUAGCUGGCAAGAGGAAAACAUUGUUGUGUAAUGACAGUACUUGUUUGCAAUGUAAUGCACUUGUAUGUAUGUUUGUGCAAUGAAAUAAAGUGAAUGUUUGACUGAAA